CGGGGUGUAGCGCAGCCUGGUAGCGCAUCUGCUUUGGGAGCAGAGGGUCGGCGGUUCGAAUCCGUCCACCCCGACCA
rnacentral:tRNA from 5 species